AGAGUUUGAUCCUGGCUCAGGAUGAACGCUGGCGGCGUGCCUAAUACAUGCAAGUCGAACGCACUGUGGUUCAACUGAUUUGAAGAGCUUGCUCUGAUAUGACGAUGAACAUUGCAGUGAGUGGCGAACGGGUGAGUAACACGUGGGAAACCUACCUCUUAGCGGGGGAUAACAUCUGGAAACAGAUGCUAAUACCGCAUAACACUAGCAACCGCAUGGUUGCUACUUGAAAGAUGGUUCUGCUAUCACUAAGAGAUGGUCCCGCGGCGCAUUAGUUAGUUGGUGAGGUAAUGGCUCACCAAGACGAUGAUGCGUAGCCGAGUUGAGAGACUGAUCGGCCACGAUGGGACUGAGACACGGCCCAUACUCCUACGGGAGGCAGCAGUAGGGAAUCUUCCACAAUGGACGAAAGUCUGAUGGAGCAACGCCGCGUGUGUGAUGAAGGGUUUCGGCUCGUAUAACACUGUUGAAAGAGAAGAAUAGCAUCAAGGGUAACUGCUUGGUGUGUGACGGUAUCUUAGCAAAAAGGAACGGCUAACUACGUGCCAGCAGCCGCGGUAAUACGUAUGUUCCAAGCGUUAUCCGGAUUUAUUGCGCGUAAAGCGAGCGCAUACGGUUUUUUUAAGUCCGAAGUGAAAGCCCACAGCUUAGCUGUGGAAGUGCUUUAGAAACUGGUAUGACUUGAGUGC
rnacentral:rRNA from 1 species